rfam:Clostridium hathewayi CAG:224 genomic scaffold, scf45
GGCGAAUGAACUCUGUACAGAUGGUACCGGUGAAACAUUGUACGGAGC